GUGCUCGCUUUGGCAGCACAUAUACAAAAAUUGGAACAAUACAAAAAAGAUUAGCAUGGCCUCUGUGCAAGGAAAACACACAAAUUCAUGAAACAUUCCUUAUUAAA